AGGGUGUUAUUUUCGCCUCGACAUUUUUGGAUCAUCUCUUUCUUUCAAUGUUCCGUCUACAGUUCUUAGUCAGACACGUUCCUUUGCGUCUUUGCGACCCUGUCCUACUAAUUAUCAUUUCGUGUCUAAUGUGUGCUUACCACAAUUACCACAACCUUGAACCCGUUCUUUUGUCCCUGCAGUGUAAUUUAAAAAAAUAUAUUGAUUCGUUAGUCCUCACCUUAGUGUAAAUUAAAUAAAUGCUUUUCUUUGUGUAAUGCUUUAGUUUCAAGAUCGGUGAUGUAGUUUCCCAUACUAACUUUUUUUAAUCCCAUUCGUUACGUUAGCUGACAAGUAUGCUUCGUAACGUUAGCAAUGUUAAAUCGAUAAAUGAAUAAAUCAAUAAAUCAAUAUUAAAUUCUAGGAACUGUGUUAGGACCUCUUUGACACAAAAUAGCCAUUGCAUCCUUAACCCUGAAACCCAAAUCUAGGUUUUACGCGACAUUUUUUUCCCGAAAUAAAGAAUCUGUUGACGACAGAAUUGAUCGCACUGUCAAUUCUGGUAAUAAAUAUGAGAAAAAAUUGGUAGAAGAGCGAGUGGGGAGAGCUGGCAGCCUCUUUGGAAAAAAAAAAAAAAAACAAAAAAUUUGAUCUCUUCAUAAGCUUGCAAUUCCUUGGUGGCAUAUGUGCGUAGACGAUUCAGUUCACAGGAGUCCUACAUAAAUGCUAGACAUAGACACAUAAUAUUUUAUUUAAAUGCAAAACUUUCCUGUUUAUUGAAAUUUUAACAGAAUUUUGUGAACACAAGCCCCUCUACCUAUUACUCUUUUAUAUUAAUUUUGAUUUUCCUCUUCUUCUUUUUUUCUUACAAUCCUUUUUUGCAAAUCAUGUCUACUGAGUAUUCUUUGAGUCAAAGUCAAAUGCUUCGUUAACCGUGGUAUUGGGAGCAUUACGAAGGAUUUUCCGCCGAAAGAAUGGAAGCAUUCCGAGCACUGUCAGCGUUAACGUCCAACUCCCCCAACCUGAUGGCUGACAUUGGUUGUGGGCAAGAAUGCGUUAUCGAGUCUCAAGUUAAGCUAUUUUAACUACGGGCUAUUUUAAUCGAUGAUUAUCAUCAAUGACGGCUCAUCAAGAGCCACAAAGUAGCUUUUGACUAAAACAUGAAACCCAACUCAAAUAAAUCAACAGCAUUCGAAGUAAUUGUUAUACUAAUCAAUAUUAAAAACUAAUACAAAAUAUAUA